CCACGGGUCAUCGCGUGUCACCGCGUGUCAUCAUGUGUCACCGCGUGUCAUUGCACCAGCCCAGUUCCCCCCCGUUUUGUCCCGUUUCUGCCCCGUUUGGGCCCCUUUCAGCCCCUUUCAGAGGUUCCUCACCCCGGUUUUGAGGUUCCUCACCCCAGUUUUGAGGUUCCUCACCCCGUUUUGGGGGGGUCUCCGGACCCAUUUUUGGGGUCCCUCAGGUCCUUUUGGGGUCCCACCACCCAUUUUGGGGUCCCACUACCCAUUUUUGGGGUUUCUCAGCUUUUUUGGGCUCCAACCACCCCUUUUAGAGGUUCCUCACCCUGGUUUUGAGGUUCUUCACCCCAGUUUUGAGGUUCCUCACCCCAUUUUGGGGGUCUCCAGACCCAUUUUUGGGGUCCCUCAGCCUGUUUUGGGGUCUCACCACCCAUUUUUGGGGUCCCUCAGCCCAUUUUGGGGUCCCUCAGCCAAUUCUGGGGUCCCACCACCCUAUUUUGGGUCCCUCACCCCAUUUUCGAGGUCCCUCACCCCAUUCGAGGGGGUCUCCAGACCCAUUUUGGGGGGUCUCCAGACCCAUUUUUGGGGUCCCUCAGCUCAUUUCAGGGUCCCACCACCCAUUUUUGGGGUCCCUCAGCCCAUUUUGGGGUCCCUCACCCCGUUUUGGGGGUCUCCAGACUCUUUUUUGGGGUCCCUCAGCCCAUUUUGGGGUCCCUCAGCCUGUUUUGGGCUCCAACCACCCCUUUUAGAGGUUCCUCACCCUGGUUUUGAGGUUCUUCACCUCACUCUUUAGGUUCCUCACCCCAGUUUUGAGGGUCUCUGGACCCAUUUUGGGGGUUCCUCAGGUCGUUUUGGGCUCCCACCACCCAUUUUUGGGGUCCCUCAGCCCAUUUUGGGGUCCCUGAGCCCAUUCCAGGGUCCCUCAGCCCAUUUUGGGGUCCCUCACCCUGGUUUUGAGGUUCCUCACCCCAUUUGAGGGGGUCUCCGGACCCAUUUUUGGGGUCCCUCAGGUCNNNNNN
rnacentral:lncRNA from 1 species